ensembl:snoRNA
CUCUGUGAAGAAAACCUUGAGUAGGAAGUGCCGUCUUAUGCGAUAACUGACGAUUUCAUUUAUUCAAAUAAUCUGAGA